AACGAACGCUGGCGGCAUGCCUAACACAUGCAAGUCGAACGAGACCUUCGGGUCUAGUGGCGCACGGGUGCGUAACGCGUGGGAAUCUGCCCUUUGCUUCGGAAUAACAGUUAGAAUUGACUGCUAAUACCGGAUGAUGUCUUCGGACCAAAGAUUUAUCGGCAAAGGAUGAGCCCGCGUAGGAUUAGGUAGUUGGUGGGUAAAGGCCUACCAAGCCGACGAUCCUUAGCUGGUCUGAGAGGAUGAUCAGCCACACUGGGACUGAGACACGGCCCAGACUCCUACGGGAGGCAGCAGUGGGGAAUAUUGGACAAUGGGCGCAAGCCUGAUCCAGCAAUGCCGCGUGAGUGAUGAAGGCCUUCGGGUCGGUAAAGACUCUUUUACCUAGGGAUGAUAAUGACAGUACCUGGAGAAUAAGACUCCGGCUAACUCCGUGCCAGCAGCCGC
rnacentral:rRNA from 1 species